rfam:Schistosoma curassoni strain Dakar, Senegal genome assembly, scaffold: SCTD_scaffold0004839
AUCCAGCUGACUAGUCCAAAAUAGGACGAAACGCGCGUCCUGGAU